GAUGAAGAACGUAGCGAAAUGCGAUACUUGGUGUGAAUUGCAGAAUCCCGUGAACCAUCGAGUCUUUGAACGCAAGUUGCGCCCGAAGCCAUUAGGCCGAGGGCACGCCUGCCUGGGCGUCACACGUCGUUGCCCCCCCCAUCUACUCCUUCGGGAUUGCGGGGGGCGGAUGAUGGCCUCCCGUGCGCCUCGCCGCGCGGUUGGCAUAAAUGCCAAGUCCUCGGCGACGCACGCCACGACAAUCGGUGGUUGCGAAACCUCGGUUGCCCGUCGUGUGCGGUCGUCGCGCAUCGAGGGCUCGAAAAAAUUGCCGAGUUCCGGCUCGGCUUUCAACGCGACCCCAGGUCAGGCGGGGUUACCCGCUGAAUUUAAGCAUAUCAAUAACGGAGGA
rnacentral:misc_RNA from 1 species